GACAUUGUGGCCGAGUGGUUAAGGCGAUUGACUAGAAAUCAAUUCCCGUUCGAUUUUCAGCGCACCGCGCGUAAUCCGUCCGAGGGUCGCAGGUUCGAGUCCUGUCAAUGUCG
rfam:Aureococcus anophagefferens unplaced genomic scaffold ATRANscaffold_6, whole genome shotgun sequence.